rnacentral:rRNA from 1 species
UACGUAGGGCGCAAGCGUUGUCCGGAAUUAUUGGGCGUAAAGAGCUCGUAGGCGGCUUGUCACGUCGGAUGUGAAAGCCCGGGGCUUAACCCCGGGUCUGCAUUCGAUACGGGCUAGCUAGAGUGUGGUAGGGGAGAUCGGAAUUCCUGGUGUAGCGGUGAAAUGCGCAGAUAUCAGGAGGAACACCUAUGGCGAAGGCAGCUCUCUGGGACGGUACUGACGCUGAGACGCGAAAGCGUGGGGAGCGAACAGG